rnacentral:rRNA from 1 species
AUUGAACGCUGGCGGCAGGCCUAACACAUGCAAGUCGAGCGGAUGAAGGGAGCUUGCUCCUGGAUUCAGCGGCGGACGGGUGAGUAAUGCCUAGGAAUCUGCCUGGUAGUGGGGGAUAACGUCCGGAAACGGGCGCUAAUACCGCAUACGUCCUGAGGGAGAAAGUUGGGGAUCUUCGGACCUCACGCUAUCAGAUGAGCCUAGGUCGGAUUAGCUAGUUGGUGGGGUAAAGGCCUACCAAGGCGACGAUCCGUAACUGGUCUGAGAGGAUGAUCAGUCACCCUGGAACUGAGACACGGUCCAGACUCCUACGAGAGGCAGCAGUGGGGAAUAUUGGACAAUGGACGAAAGCCUGAUCCAGCCAUGCCGAGUGUGUGAAGAAGGUCUUCGGAUUGUAAAGAACUUUAAGUUGGGAGGAAGGGCAGUAAGUUAAUACCUUGCUGUUUUGACGUUACCAACAGAAUAAGCACCGGCUAACUUCGUG